rnacentral:lncRNA from 1 species
CUGGCAUGUGGCAGAGCACUCUCUGCCUGGGAGGCUUGUCUGCUGUACUACUCUCAUCGCAUUUUCGUCCUUCAAUAACUGUGAUACCAGGGAAGGGAGGACACAACAUUUUUCUUGGGUCAAAGCUGGCAGUUACCUGAAGGAAGAAGCUGUGAAGCCUGCCCUCAGGACACAGGUGGGGGCCAUGGGCCCAGAGCCCAGGCAGGAGAGGGAACAGAGAUGGUGCAGCUGUGGAAGCAAGCUCAUCUAUAGAGUGAGCAACCCUUAUCACAAUGAUGGUAAAUGAUGUUCACCUGCCAGAAAGCAUAUGGCUGUGGGAGUCAGUGAUCUUAGGGACCCCACGUUCAAGGAGAGUGGCUGAAGACCUUGUGUUCUUGAGGCUGGGGGGACUGCAUCUGCACCUCUCUUACUUAGGGGAUGCAAGAGGUUGUUUUCAUUUUGCUCACACCAUGGUUUGAGGAAUUGUGCAUAUCUUCUAGGAGGUGGCUGCAGUCUGGAGGGGGAGUGAGAGAGCAGUGUUGUGGAGUUUAUCUGUUCAUCAAUAUGAAACCACCACAUCCUCACACACCAGAAUCCUCCACAGGUGGGAGAAGAUGGCUUUUGUUUCACCUCCUGCUGCUCCCAGUUAGCCACACUGUGAGCAAGAUGGGAUGAAGGAGGAGUCCCCUUGAGAUGUGAGAUCUGGCUUUUUGUCAGCUGGAGUUUCAAAGGCACAGGCUGAUCCCAAGCUCAACCACCUUUGCCUUGAUACAGCUCACGAUACCCCUCUACAAGCUUGUCACUCAUAGCUGCUAUGUCUGAUCCCACCGGGCAUUCAUCAUUGAAACAGCUUCCUGGAACAUGCAAGUACUAAAAAGCCCAAUUUUCUCAGCACAAGCACUUUUCAAAGGAAGAAUUUUUCUGAGGGCAUUUGAUGCAAACUUUGUUAUAAAACUCACACAACCAUUCAGCCUGCACCAACGUUAAGAUCAUACUGAGGGCUACAUGGUUUUAAACAUGAGGUUAAAAAAAAAAAAAGCAUAAAAUGUAAGGCUGUGAGCCUUAGCUGUGCUUUCUUGUUCAUAUACAUUCAUAACACAAGCUGUGUUAUUCAGAAAAAGAGAGGGACCAUGGGUGGUAUUGGAUAUUCUACCCUUAGCAAAAUCAAGUCACUUAUAGAUUCCGAUUUGGUACCUAGGAACAGAAUUGCAAGUAGCCUUUCUAGUUACCAGAAAAUAAAUAAAUAAGUAUAAUAAUAUAUAUAUAUAUA